AUGAAGACCUUACUACACAUACUGAAUUCUUCAUCAACAACCUCAAAGAGACAUGGAACCGUCACUACGAAAACUCAAAGGUCUAGAUCAGUUAUUUUCCAAUCGAUUAUGUCACGACUACGAAGCAAGGAAACCGGCAUGACUGUGGCUUUCACACGUUGGAAUACCUUGCAAAGUGGGAAGGUCGACGGGUCCCUGUCGUCACAGCUGCAAUGGUCGUUGAGCUCCGCAAAAUAUACACAUGGAACUGGUUGA
rnacentral:rRNA from 1 species